UGUGUUUGUAGGUUUGAUCAAUUAUUCUCAGUCAUGUCAUAAAACGGACGAAUCCAUUUCGUUUACUGGGUGUUCCAAAUAUUAUCUACAACUCAACAAAACCAGGUUUAUGUUUGAUAGAGAGUAUGAAGACUGUUCCGCAGUAUACAAAGAAGCACAAACAUCAAUUAUAACUCUUUGUAACGAAAAGAACAAUUCAGACAUAUGCACCUUCAAUCUUUCUGAAGUAAUCCGGAAAUAUCCAAGAUGUUUUCAAUCAAACACUCUUCUGCUUAACUAUACAUGUAAAGAGAAAGUACCAACUACCUUAUCUAAUGAUUCACAGGAGACAAAUGUUUCACUAGACAGAGGUUUAGUUGUCGGUAUGGUUGUAGCGAUCGUGUUGUUAGCGUGUGUUGUUGUUAUUAUUUGUCUCGUCAGAAG